rnacentral:lncRNA from 1 species
UCAACGUAAUCGGAGGCCUAAAGUGAAAUCUUAAUUAGAGGCCUAAAAUCUAAAUAAACUUCACAUGCAUUUAUUUAAAAUUUAGUUUUCUUACAUUUUUAAAUGCAAAGUAUUACUUAAUAUUUUUUUAUAUAUAAAUGAUUUAUUCGAUUUCUUUUUCAAUUAUUAGUUUUAAAUAAGAUUUAUCAAUUCAACGUUGAAAAUAUAAUUUUACUCGGGC